GAACCAGCGUCAGCUCCUCCUUC
rnacentral:siRNA from 1 species